UUGCAUACAUUUCGUAGCCUGUUCUGUUCUGUUGGCAUGAGCUGUGCUAUUUCUUACGUGCCAUAAAUAGAUGAAGGUUCCUUAGUAAUAUAACUAAGUAGCCAUGCUGCAAGCCUCCUUCAGACAAGU
rnacentral:snoRNA from 1 species